UGUGCCCCUUUGUCUGGCAAAGUAAUAAAGCUAUUCUUUUCUACUUCACCCAAAACUCUGUCUCCGAGAUUCAAUUCAGCACCAGUGCACAGGGGCAGAGUUUUUGGCAUCAAGCUCAAAUGUCACCU